CUUUGGGUAAAGAGAUAAAUUAUCAAAUUCAAACUCUCCAAAAUCGAUUUGCGUUGACGGCAGCUUCAUCCUCUCCUUGGACUGAGGAACUCUUGGGGCUUUAACAUCGUGUUUCUGGUGCGGUCCAGCUGUACUCGUUCCAAACAUUCUAAUAAGUCCCAUUUCACUUUCAAGUAUAUUUUUCAACCCAAAAGGCAUGCGGUUCUUCAAGUAUAGAGUGUCCAAAUUUUCAUAGUACCCUGGGUCCAGUCUACCAUUCUCCUUCCGAAUUAUUGCGUAUUUUGCAAGAAAAUCUGCUGCCGUGUUUGUUUGGUGCCAGAUAUAUCUAAAACCCCAACCUUUCUCGUCCAAUAUUGAUCUCGACAGAUAUAUGUGCUCCAUUGUUUCUGCAUCCACUUUAUAAUUCUGAUUUGUCAUCUUGAAAAUUUCAACAUUUAGAAUCAAGUUUCAGACAUAUUUUGCGUCAGUUGCAAUGAACACCUUUUCGUAGCCUUCAGCUAGGCGAAUGUCGAUUGCCCUUGUCACUCCCAAUGCUUCCAUUUUCAAAAUAUUAUUGUUUUUGGUCUGCAUCUAGACAAAUUCCACUAGUAGUGGUAGUCCACCAACAUCACGAACUAUCGCACCUAGUCCAACCAAAAUUUUCCCCGCUUCAUUGAAGCAUCCAUGUUGACGACAACAAUGCCUGAUUUUAUUGUAAGCAAGGGAUGAUCAGUAAUUCUUCCACAUCAAGAUCAACCUAUAUCCCCUUCCUCUUUUUGAUUGCAUCAGUGAUUGGCCUACUCCAAGCGGAUGAUCUAUUUGUGCGCGCAGCGACAUGUUUUGCCCAUGUAAUCAACAUCAGUGCAUGGCCUCUGCAUGUGUUUUGUUAGUGUUCCUGUUCCACAUGAUCGAUGCUCUUUCAGCUACCACUCGUACAUCUUGAAUAUUUGUAUUAUAUUGCCACUUUUUUUUUUUUUUUUUUUAAC